UGGCGGACGGGUGAGUAAUGUCUGGGAAACUGCCCGAUGGAGGGGGAUAACUACUGGAAACGGUAGCUAAUACCGCAUAACGUCGCAAGACCAAAGAGGGGGACCUUCGGGCCUCUUGCCAUCGGAUGUGCCCAGAUGGGAUUAGCUAGUAGGUGGGGUAACGGCUCACCUAGGCGACGAUCCCUAGCUGGCUGAGAGGAUGACCAGCCACACUGGAACUGAGACACGGUCCAG
rnacentral:rRNA from 1 species